rnacentral:rRNA from 1 species
GUGGGGAAUAUUGGGCAAUGGGCGAAAGCCUGACCCAGCAACGCCGCGUGAAGGAAGAAGGCCCUCGGGUUGUAAACUUCUUUUAAGAGGGACGAAAGAAAUGACGGUACCUCUUGAAUAAGCCACGGCUAACUACGUGCCAGCAGCCGCGGUAAUACGUAGGUGGCGAGCGUUAUCCGGAUUUACUGGGUGUAAAGGGCGUGUAGGCGGGAGUGCAAGUCAGAUGUGAAAAUUAUGGGCUCAACCCAUAACCUGCAUUUGAAACUGUUCUUCUUGAGUGAUGGAGAGGCAGGCGGAAGUCCGUGUGUAGCGGUGAAAUGCGUAGAUAUACGGAGGAACACCAGUGGCGAAGGCGGCCUGCUGGACAUUAACUGACGCUGAGGCGCGAAAGCGUGGGGAGCAAACAGGAUUAGAUACCCUGGUAGUCC